rnacentral:rRNA from 1 species
GACGAACGCUGGCGGCGUGCUUAACACAUGCAAGUCGAACGGAAAGGCCCUGCUUUUGUGGGGUGCUCGAGUGGCGAACGGGUGAGUAACACGUGAGUAACCUGCCCUUGACUUUGGGAUAACUUCAGGAAACUGGGGCUAAUACCGGAUAGGAGCUCCUGCUGCAUGGUGGGGGUUGGAAAGUUUCGGCGGUUGGGGAUGGACUCGCGGCUUAUCAGCUUGUUGGUGGGGUAGUGGCUUACCAAGGCUUUGACGGGUAGCCGGCCUGAGAGGGUGACCGGCCACCUUGGGACUGAGAUACUGCCCAGACUCCUACGGGGGGCAGCAGUGGGGAAUAUUGCACAAUGGGCGGAAGCCUGAUGCAGCAACGCCGCGUGCGGGAUGACGGCCUUCGGGUUGUAAACCGCUUUCGCCUGUGACGAAGCGUGAGUGACGGUAAUGGGUAAAGAAGCACCGGCUAACUACGUG